UACAGAGGGUGCGAGCGUUAAUCGGAAUUACUGGGCGUAAAGCGCACGUAGGCGGCUUUGCAAGUCAGAGGUGAAAGCCCGGGGCUCAACCCCGGAAUUGCCUUUGAGACUGCAUCGCUAGAAUUGUGGAGAGGUAAGUGGAAUUCCGAGUGUAGAGGUGAAAUUCGUAGAUAUUCGGAAAGAACACCAGUGGCGAAGGCGACUUACUGGACACAUAUUGACGCUGAGGUGCGAAAGCGUGGGGAGCAAACAGG
rnacentral:rRNA from 1 species